CCAAACAGCUUGACCAUCAGCGUCUGCUGGAAUCUGCCGAGUCUGUAAAGUGAACGGGAGGAAUCACAUCUGCUUCAGAGACAAGGUGGCUGAUAAUGUUUAUGACAUGUUUCGAACCCAGUACACUCUGUACAGCCAGGCCUACCAGCACAAGAUCGGCAAUAUCAGUCAGAAAAAAAUUAUAGAUGCCCUCUUAGAAGCUAGAGACAAGCUCCCAAAGAUCUCACCAAUU